rnacentral:rRNA from 1 species
UUGUGAACUCGAAGAGUAGGGCGGGACACGUGGUAUCCUGUCUGAAUAUGGGGGGACCAUCCUCCAAGGCUAAAUACUCCUGACUGACCGAUAGUGAACCAGUACCGUGAGGGAAAGGCGAAAAGAACCCCGGCGAGGGGAGUGAAAAAGAACCUGAAACCGUGUACGUACAAGCAGUGGGAGCACCUUCGGGUGUGACUGCGUACCUUUUGUAUAAUGGGUCAGCGACUUAUAUUCUGUAGCAAGGUUAACCGUAUAGGGGAGCCGCAGGGAAACCGAGUCUUAACUGGGCGUUAAGUUGCAGGGUAUAGACCCGAAACCCGGUGAUCUAGCCAUGGGCAGGUUGAAGGUUGGGUAACACUAACUGGAGGACCGAACCGACUAAUGUUGAAAAAUUAGCGGAUGACUUGUGGCUGGGGGUGAAAGGCCAAUCAAACCGGGAGAUAGCUGGUUCUCCCCGAAAGCUAUUUAGGUAGCGCCUCGUGAACUCAUCUUCGGGGGUAGAGCACUGUUUCGGCUAGGGGGUCAUCCCGACUUACCAACCCGAUGCAAACUACGAAUACCGAAGAAUGUUAUCACGGGAGACACACGGCGGGUGCUAACGUCCGUCGUGAAGAGGGAAACAACCCAGACCGCCAGCUAAGGUCCCAAAGUCAUGGUUAAGUGGGAAACGAUGUGGGAAGGCACAGACAGCCAGGAUGUUGGCUUAGAAGCAGCCAUCAUUUAAAGAAAGCGUAAUAGCUCACUGGUCGAGUCGGCCUGCGCGGAAGAUGUAACGGGGCUAAACCAUGCACCGAAGCUGCGGCAGCGACACUAUGUGUUGUUGGGUAGGGGAGCGUUCUGUAAGCCUGCGAAGGUGUGCUGUGAGGCAUGCUGGAGGUAUCAGAAGUGCGAAUGCUGACAUAAGUAACGAUAAAGCGGGUGAAAAGCCCGCUCGCCGGAAGACCAAGGGUUCCUGUCCAACGUUAAUCGGGGCAGGGUGAGUCGACCCCUAAGGCGAGGCCGAAAGGCGUAGUCGAUGGGAAACAGGUUAAUAUUCCUGUACUUGGUGUUACUGCGAAGGGGGGACGGAGAAGGCUAUGUUAGCCGGGCGACGGUUGUCCCGGUUUAAGCAUGUAGGCUGGUUAUCCAGGCAAAUCCGGAUAAUCAAGGCUGAGGUGUGAUGACGAGGCACUACGGUGCUGAAGUAACAAAUGCCCUGCUUCCAGGAAAAGCCUCUAAGCAUCAGGUAACAUCAAAUCGUACCCCAAACCGACACAGGUGGUCAGGUAGAGAAUACCAAGGCGCUUGAGAGAACUCGGGUGAAGGAACUAGGCAAAAUGGUGCCGUAACUUCGGGAGAAGGCACGCUGGUGUGUAGGUGAAGUCCCUGCGGAUGGAGCUGAGACCAGUCGAAGAUACCAGCUGGCUGCAACUGUUUAUUAAAAACACAGCACUGUGCAAACACGAAAGUGGACGUAUACGGUGUGACGCCUGCCCGGUGCCGGAAGGUUAAUUGAUGGGGUUAUCCGUAAGGAGAAGCUCUUGAUCGAAGCCCCGGUAAACGGCGGCCGUAACUAUAACGGUCCUAAGGUAGCGAAAUUCCUUGUCGGGUAAGUUCCGACCUGCACGAAUGGCGUAAUGAUGGCCAGGCUGUCUCCACCCGAGACUCAGUGAAAUUGAACUCGCUGUGAAGAUGCAGUGUACCCGCGGCAAGACGGAAAGACCCCGUGAACCUUUACUAUAGCUUGACACUGAACAUUGAGCCUUGAUGUGUAGGAUAGGUGGGAGGCUUUGAAGCGUGGACGCCAGUCUGCGUGGAGCCAACCUUGAAAUACCACCCUUUAAUGUUUGAUGUUCUAACGUUGGCCCCUGACCGGGGUUGCGGACAGUGUCUGGUGGGUAGUUUGACUGGGGCGGUCUCCUCCCAAAGCGUAACGGAGGAGCACGAAGGUUAGCUAAUCCUGGUCGGACAUCAGGAGGUUAGUGCAAUGGCAUAAGCUAGCUUGACUGCGAGCGUGACGGCGCGAGCAGGUGCGAAAGCAGGUCAUAGUGAUCCGGUGGUUCUGAAUGGAAGGGCCAUCGCUCAACGGAUAAAAGGUACUCCGGGGAUAACAGGCUGAUACCGCCCAAGAGUUCAUAUCGACGGCGGUGUUUGGCACCUCGAUGUCGGCUCAUCACAUCCUGGGGCUGAAGUAGGUCCCAAGGGUAUGGCUGUUCGCCAUUUAAAGUGGUACGCGAGCUGGGUUUAGAACGUCGUGAGACAGUUCGGUCCCUAUCUGCCGUGGGCGCUGGAGAAUUGAGGGGGGCUGCUCCUAGUACGAGAGGACCGGAGUGGACGCAUCACUGGUGUUCGGGUUGUCAUGCCAAUGGCACUGCCCGGUAGCUAAAUGCGGAAGAGAUAAGUGCUGAAAGCAUCUAAGCACGAAACUUGCCCCGAGAUGAGUUCUCCCUGAGACUUUAAGUCUCCUGAAGGAACGUUGAAGACGACGACGUUGAUAGGCCGGGUGUGUAAGCGCAGCGAUGCGUUGAGCUAACCGGUACUAAUGAACCGUGAGGCUUAACCUUACAACGCCGAAG